AAGUCGUAACAAGGUUUCCGUAGGUGAACCUGCGGAAGGAUCAUUCACACACGUUAGUCAUGUUGGCUGUGCGGUUCGCUGCAUGGUCGGCCUGCAACCCAAACCAAAUCCACUGAGCUACGUACAACCCUUUAUAAAAAGACAGGCACUGGGUAUGAAGCUUUCUCUGCUCCUCAGACGUUAAACGCCGGGACCCGACAUAGCAUGAAUCUGGGCAACCGGAGUAAUUGUUAUGGCCAAAUAAUUGAAGACCCUCGGAUUCCAACCCCGUUGGUCGACCCACCUUCACUGGCUUUCCCUGGCAACAGGGGCUGCCUUACAUUUUGUCGAAAAACCGCUGGCGAAAGCUGGCACUACGUAAUACCAUACAACUCUUUGCAAUGGAUAUCUUGGUUCUC
rnacentral:misc_RNA from 1 species